CUGCAUCAGGCAAUUAACGUAUUUGCAGCCCCGCUCACUUUGGACUACGGCAUCAUCGUUUUCACCAAGUUUUUUCUAUUUUCUUGGAUUUAACCUCAACCACAGGUCGUCUUCAGUUACUUCGGGUGCUGAUCCAGCAGUCUGUGGACCUCAGAGGACUCCAGAAACCUAUAGAUCUGCCACAGAACAGCUGGAAAGAGAAGACGUGUCAGAAGUACAGGGGAUAAAGUUCAGAUAUGGCUGAAUCACAGCUGCUAAAGAACAUAGGGGAUGCGAUAGCAGGAGUGCUUCCGGACCUUCCUGAUCAACUUGUUAAGUCCAUUGAAGAUACUUUGAAAACACUUGGUGCGGCAACCACAGAUGAUUUAAAGUACAUCACAGAAAACGAUUUGCUGCCAGUGUUAAAGCCCAUACAAGCCCGAAGACUGGUUGCUGCCUGGACCCAAAAUAUCUCCGGGGGCCAGUUGUUCAAAAAGUUUAAUCUGG